ACGGYARCRCGGGGGCAACCCUGGYGRCGAGUGGCGAACGGGUGAGUAAURCAUCGGAACGUGCCCAGUAGUGGGGGAUAGCYCGGCGAAAGCCGGAUUAAUACCGCAUACGACCUACGGGUGAAAGSGGGGGAUCGCAAGACCUCKCGCUAUUGGAGCGGCCGAUGUCAGAUUAGGUWGUUGGUGGGGUAAAGGCCUACCAAGCCGACGAUCUGUAGCUGGUCUGAGAGGACGACCAGCCACACUGGGACUGAGACACGGCCCAGACUCCUACGGGAGGCAGCAGUGGGGAAUUUUGGACAAUGGGCGMAAGCCUGAUCCAGCCAUGCCGCGUGCGGGARGAAGGCCUUCGGGUUGUAAACCGCUUUUGUCAGGGAAGAAAUCUUCYGAGUUAAUACCUCGRGAGGAUGACGGUACCUGAAGAAUAAGCACCGGCUAACUACGUGCCAGCAGCCGCGGUAAUACGUAGGGUGCAAGCGUUAAUCGGAAUUACUGGGCGUAAAGCGUGCGCAGGCGGUUAUGCAAGACAGRUGUGAAAUCCCCGGGCUYAACCUGGGAACUGCAUUUGUGACUGCAUAGCUGGAGUGCGGCAGAGGGGGAUGGAAUUCCGCGUGUAGCAGUGAAAUGCGUAGAUAUGCGGAGGAACACCGAUGGC
rnacentral:rRNA from 1 species